GGUAAUGUGGCUGAGGUCAUAGGCGAUAGACUGUAAAUCUAUACACGGAGUUUAAAUCCUUUUACCA
rnacentral:tRNA from 1 species